rnacentral:rRNA from 1 species
CAAUAGCGUAUAUUAAAGCUGUUGCGGUUAAAAAGCUCGUAGUUGGAUUUCUGUCAAGUACAACUGGUCCGCCCUCCGGGUGAGCACAUAGUUUGGUCUUGGCAUCUUGCCGGAAAUUGUUGCUGCACUUGGCUGUGUGGCGCAGUGUCCAGCACUUUCACUUUGAGGAAAUUGGAGUGUUUCAAGCAGGCAAUGCCUUUGAACACAGUAGCAUGGAAUAAUUAGAUUGGGCUUUUGCUCCAAUUUGUCGGUUUCUGGAGCUGAGGUGAGAAUUAAUGGGGAUUGUUGGGGGCAUCCGAAUUUAGCCGUCAGAGGUGAAAUUCUUGGAUCGGCUAAAGACGGACAACUGCGAAAGCGUUUGCCCAGGAUGUUUUCAUUGA